UACAGAGGGUGCGAGCGUUAAUCGGAAUUACUGGGCGUAAAGCGCACGUAGGUGGCGACGUAAGUCGGGUGUGAAAGCCCCGGCUCAACCUGGGAAUUGCAUUCGAGACUGCAUUGCUGGAGUACGGAAGAGGAGGGCGGAAUUCCCGGUGUAGCGGUAAUAUGCGUAGAUAUCGGGAGGAACACCAGUGGCGAAGGCGACUGCCUGGGUAUUGCUGACGCUGAGGAACGAAGGCCAGGGGAGGCGAAACGGG
rnacentral:rRNA from 1 species